UUCCGGUUGAUCCCGCCAGAGGUUACUGCUAUCGAGGUUCGACUAAGCCAUGCGAGUCGAAUGUAGCAAUACAUGGCGUACUGCUCAGUAACACGUGGACAACCUGCCCUUAGGUCGGGUAUAAACCCGGGAAACUGGGUAUAAUCCCCGAUAGGUCUCGGCUGCUGGAAUGCUCUGUAGCCGAAAGGUCCGCCGCCGUAGGAUGGGUCUGCGGCCGAUUAGGUUGUUGUUGGGGUAACGGCCCAACAAGCCUGUAAUCGGUAUGGGUUGUGGGAGCAAGAGCCCGGAGAUGGAUUCUGAGACACGAAUCCAGGCCCUACGGGGCGCAGCAGGCGCGAAAACUUUACAAUGCGGGAAACCGUGAUAAGGGAACUCUGAGUGCCCGUUAAAUCGGGCUGUCCAUCAGUUUAAAAAACUGGUGAAGAAAGGGCCGGGCAAGACCGGUGCCAGCCGCCGCGGUAAUACCGGCGGCUCGAGUGGUGGCCACUAUUACUGGGCUUAAAGUGUUCGUAGCUGGUUUGUUAAGUCUCUGGGGAAAUCUUCCGGCUUAACCGGAAGGCGUCUCAGGGAUACUGGCAGACUAGGGACCGGAAGAGGUGAGAGGUACUCCAGGGGUAGGAGUGAAAUCCUGUAAUCCUUGGGGGACCACCUGUGGCGAAGGCGUCUCACCAGGACGGCUCCGACAGUGAGGGACGAAAGCUGGGGGAGCAAACCGGAUUAGAUACCCGGGUAGUCCCAGCCGUAAACGAUGUGCAUUAGGUGUAUCGGUGACCACGAGUCACCGAGGUGCCGAAGAGAAAUCGUGAAAUGCACCGCCUGGGAAGUACGGUCGCAAGGCUGAAACUUAAAGGAAUUGGCGGG
rnacentral:rRNA from 1 species